CGGACGGGUGAGUAAUGCCUAGGAAUCUGCCUGGUAGUGGGGGACAACGUUUCGAAAGGAACGCUAAUACCGCAUACGUCCUACGGGAGAAAGCAGGGGACCUUCGGGCCUUGCGCUAUCAGAUGAGCCUAGAUCGGAUUAGCUAGUUGGUGAGGUAAUGGCUCACCAAGGCGACGAUCCGUAACUGGUCUGAGAGGAUGAUCAGUCACACUGGAACUGAGACACGGUCCAGACUCCUACGGGAGGCAGCAGCU
rnacentral:rRNA from 1 species